UAUGGAAUUCGUUUGCCCACAUUUACUGAUAUAAUUCAUUUGUCUGCAUUAACGAUAUACAAAUCGUAAUUCAUUAUAGCAUAAAAGACACAAUUCAGCAAUCGGUGACCUUUUAACUGAAGAAAUCAGAAGAUAUACAACAUGGUCAAGGUAACUAAUAGCUCUUGAUUGAAAAACACCCUUGAUCCUUUAGCGUCAUGUUCCUCAAGGGAAACAAGCAGUUUCCUGAACAAUCGUUAUGGUCACUUGUCAGGAAGCCUUGAACCCUGCAAUAUAGCAGAAGAGGAAGGAAAUGUGAUUUAAUACCAAACAUCACAAGACAAAUAUUUAACAUGCCAGUGUACUAACAGUAUAACACCAAUGCAAAACUUAUUCUGAGCAACCAUUGUAGCCUUUCCAAACUUACUAAAAUUUGGAAGUUAUAUAUGUUCAUAAAUGUAGAUGCUAAUUGCACUCGGGUAAGCCUACACAGAAAACAACCUUGGACUUAAAUACUUUUGGUAUUCAAAUCACGACAUUGCUUACCUAAACAAACAAGAUCUACUAUAUUUCCAUUUUUCACAUUUACAUUCUAUUAUUAGGGAUAAACCUCCCAUUGGUUGUUAAGGCUUACCUUGAAGCUAACAUAGAGAUCACUUAGAUGAUAACAAUCUGAAUUUCCUUGGCCAACACUAAGACAACAAUUAAUGUUUGGACACUGAGUCUCGCGGAACAGGAGCACGUGGGUAGAGAAAAUAAAGAUGUAGAAAUAUUAGAGGCAAAGUGACACUGCUGCAUCUCAAUAGUAUUAUCCAAAAAAUAAUAGAACCAGGCAACAAAUCCUGAAAUUAAGAACCAAGAAAGCAAGUACUCAACAAGGCAUGCAACUAAUUUACAUAUAACACACUGCAUGUUUAGCAGUACUCACUAAUUAACAUUUUAGUACACCAGCUUCAAUAGGAGAGUACCAACAUGUGUAGAGCUGCCGAAAAGAAGCUGCAACGUAGUUGCACUUUGGGUAAAAAAAUGAUUUCAAUUGGGCUUUAGAUUCUUGUAGCACUUUUUGAUGACAUGAACAACGUCCUGUGUGAUGCUAGCAUCAUUAGUGUAACAAUGGAUUGUGUAUUUUAUCCCUACACAGGAUAUCUGUAAGAUGAGUUGGGUAAAGAAAUCAUACGAAGUCAAUUCAGUUACUCAAGUUUGAAAACUUCAUGUUCAGAUUUCUUCAGAUGUAGAAAACUGAUGGGUCCAGAUGAAAGGGUCUGUCCAGCAGCAUUGAUGUUAUUACAUAGAAGUGCACUACUAAGGUAAGUUUUUAAUGUGGACACCAAACGAUAUUGACAACCAAUGCAUGUUUGCAGAGUGUAAUCAGAGAAUUACGUAUAAAAACCUCCAUCCUAAAACAUGAGAAAUUCAAAAUGAACAUAAAGAGUCGAGCAUAUACCUUAAUAUAAUCCUUGAAAUUUUCCAUUGGGGUAUCAAUUAGCUGUGCAAGAAAUCAAAAAAUAAAAAUGCCCGUCAGACAUAGAAUCAAAUAUAAAAGAAUAAAAAAUAAUAAGUUAAAUUUAGAUGCAUAAGUUACAUUACAUGGUCAUAGGCAGCACUGAAGUAAUCACAUUUGGUGGUACUCGAAUCACCUGAUUAGAGUCAUACACUUUACCCAUUAGGCCACAAGAGCUUCUAUGUGAUGACAACAACAUCAAGCAAUUGCAUAUCCAAGCCAUGUGAAUCUGGUUUACAUACAAGAAAAGAAAUGCAUUGGAAAGCUCUGCUUACAUUGGGAGGAAGGGAAUAAAUCAUAAAUCUGCAGAUUGGUUUGAUAUUUGUUUGGCGAAUAGGAUUAGGGAGAUGCCGGCGGCACACAUUAUGUGUGCCCUCACCUUUGGAAAGUUUCCCAGGCUCGUUGGUCAGCUGUUUUGCAUGCGCCUCAGUGUCUAGACAUCAAACACGUACAAAUAGAUGGGGGAAUAUCAAGCAUGUUUGUGUGCCUAGCUAUUAGUUGAUCACCGAGUCACUUCCUCCAUCCUCUACAGGUCUGUGUAUCUCUCCGCAUUCUGCACAGAGAAGAUCGAUAUAUUACAGAUAUCCUCAGUUGCUAGUAAUAUAGAAGCAUCAUCAAGAAACAAAAUCAUUUGCCUGGUGUGCUGGCACGAGGUUAAUCAAUAUCCAACUCUAGAACUAUCGUCAAUUAUCCCCUUCAUACAAGAUUGUGAUCACAACAUCCUUUUUGUUCUACAGUAGAUGGUGUGGAUCAGUAACACAUCAACAUUCCUUUUGUUCUAUAUCAAAUAUGAGAGGAAAGAAGGGUUGGGAUUGGAGGAAGGGGGGCAACGGUGGAGGGGGCUGGGGUAUGGUGGCCGCGCCUACAUGGAUCCCGCCGCAGAGGGGGUGUGUGGGACGCGGCGAACGAGGGUCGUAAGUACGCGGAGGAGAAAUGAUAGGAGAAGCAGGACGGGGAGGAUAC
rnacentral:lncRNA from 1 species